CGCCGUGCGGCGUGCGGCCGCGACCGCUCCUUCUGCCCGUCCCGAGCUCUCGGCAAGAACCCUAGCCGCCGCAGUGCCGCGCGCUGUCCGACUUCCCCAGCGCCGGCCUGGUCGGCGAUUGCUGGUGCAGCUUGCUGGUGUCCCUGGCCGCCGGCCUGCCACCGCGGGGGAGCAAGGAGGCACUCUCGGCUCUCAUGGUAGAGGAGGUGGGUGAGCAGGGGAGCGACGCCGGCGGCGGCCGUGGCCACGGCGUAGACGCUGCUGGGCACGGCCAAGGACGAGGAGCGGCCCCGGUAGCGGCUGAUGCCGAGGAGAAGGAACAGCCGGCAUCGGCGUUGGGCGAGGGUGAGGCGCCCUCAAUUGCCUGUCUUGCAAUUGGUAAGAAGAAGAUGGUAACAAAAAGGAACAAGGAAGAAAUAAAUGCUAUGCUCACAUUGGCGUGAGAACGGUUUCACAUGCAUGCGCUGGCGUGUGCGGCCUUCCAUACCCGUGGGCCGUGGCAUAUCCUCAGGUAGCGGACCAGUUGGUGCUGCACGCCUACACCACGUCUCGUCUCAGCCAGCUGCAGUUCCCGUCAAAGGAAGCCAUCUCUGCUCCACUUCACACCAGGCGAGCCUCUUCUCUUCAUCCCCUGCUCCUCUCCGUGCUCCUCCACCAUCACCAUCGAGCUCGUCCUCCUUGAUCCACUGCACCCUGCUGAUUGUCUGGUUCAUCGGCAACUGAUCCGAAAAGCUAGCGUCUAGCGAGCAAGAUGAAGAAUGUGGUGGGGAGCCCAGGGACCUGGAGUGGCCUGGCGCUGAGGGUGUCGCGAUGCAUGUUCGCUGCUGCCUCAUACGCUGCCUUGAUCUCUGCACCCGAUCACGAUGACUUCACCGCCUUCCGGGCCUUGCAAAUUUCCAUGGAAAUGCAAUUUCUUUGGAGUUUCGUGCUGCUUUGCGUUGGUAUACACUGUUUGAGGACAAAGCGUCAUCUCAACGAACCUGGUGUACUCAUGGUUGUUACUUUUGACUGGCUGACAGCCAUCCUAUCAAUGGCGACUGCUUCUGCAUCCGCUGCUGUGACCAUUUAUUUGUAGAGAGACUUCACCUUGUGCACGACGUACCCACAACUCCCAUGCAGCCGAUACAAGAUUUCGGUUAUCUGGCAUUCAUUUCUUGGUCAUUUGUAGCUGCAUCUUCGGCUUCAUCAUUUUGGCUGCUGACUUCUUUUCAUCAUGGCUAAGAUUUCGCUAACGUACAGAGAAAUCAGCAAGUUCAUCAGCAACUUUUGAGCUGAGUUUUGCUGGUUACUACUCUUCCUCAUUAUUUGUGUAUAUUAGGCUUGUGAUGGAAGUGAACAGAGGACGCUCUUGAAAUAAAAGGUAGGGUGAUCUAGGAUGGGAGGUCGCCGGAUCGAUAUCUGGAGAUGCAUGGAUAUCUGUGUCAGUAGGUGGUGUGUAUAUGCAUACAAUUUUAGCUCUUGAAUGGAGUUACUAAUGAUGCAAGCAUGCUCGUGAAUUCUAGUUAAGAAAUAUAAAAAAUAUUAAGAUACUUUUAAAUGCUUCAAUA